rnacentral:tRNA from 1 species
GCCUGGGUGGCUCAGUCGGUUAAGCGUCCGACUUCAGCUCAGGUCAUGAUCUCACAGCUCGUGGGUUCGAGCCCCGCGUCGGGCU